UGCAUGGAGACUCUGUCUUAUCAGGAGUUUGCCACUAUGAUCUAGAAGGACAUCUUACAAUGCACAAGACCCCUCUCAAUGCAUAAUGGCCCUUUGUCAUUCAACCCAAAAUGUCAGUAGUCCCAAGGCUGAGAAUCCCAUCUCUAAGAGGUAAUAUGCUUUGAGUAACAACUCUUGUUCCAUAAUUUUGAGUUUUAAUUCCAGGCACUGGUAGGUGUCAACAGAGUUGUGUUUCAGAGCAGGUAACCAUCAAUCACACCCUUGAGACAAAUAUUUACUUUCUAUUCAUAUAAAACUAGUUCUAUGCCUCAGAACUAACUCUAGCGAAGCAAUUCUUGAUCCUUUAUUUGGUUGUGGUUUUUUUAAUCUUUAUGCUUAAAGUAUAAGUUUAACC